AUGGUGAAAGGCAGCGUCCAUAAAAAUAGACGCGCCCUGGAACAUCAGACCGUUGAACGCUUUGACCACGGAUGUACUGGCACUGACGAAAAACGGAUGGAAAGGUCGGGCUCGCCCGGCCUUUUUGUUU
rnacentral:sRNA from 1 species